GAGGAAUUUUGGACAAUGGGGGAAACCCUGAUCCAGCGACGCCGCGUGUGGGAUGAAUGGGUUAUGCCCUGUAAACCACUGUCAGCAGAGAAGAAAAGGUUCCUUUGGAACCCGGGACUGUAUCUGCAGAGGAAGGACCGGCUAACUACGUGCCAGCAGCCGCGGUAAUACGUAGGGUCCAAGCGUUAUCCGGAAUUACUGGGUAUAAAGGGUGCGUAGGCGGCCUUGUGCGUCGAAGGUUAAAGGCCAUGGCUCAACCAUGGAAAUGCCCUCGAUACGGCAAGGCUUGAGUAUGAGAGAGGAAGAUGGAAUUCCUGGUGUAGCAGUGAAAUGCGUAGAUAUCAGGAGGAACACCGGUGGCGAAGGCGGUCUUCUGGCUCAUUACUGACGCUGAGGCACGAAAGUGUGGGGAGCAAAC
rnacentral:rRNA from 1 species